rnacentral:misc_RNA from 1 species
AUAUAUAUCAAACCUGUAUUCAGGUUUUGGAUGUGGGGGGUUUUUGCUGGACUUGAUUUGUUCAGCUCUCCUGAAAUGCAUUAGCAGAACAACCUUUGCUCAUUGGUGUGAUAACUUAUCUACGCUAUUGAAUGGAAGUUCAGCUUUCUAACUGUCCUUGGACAAACUUAUUAUUAA